AGAGUUUGAUCCUGGCUCAGGACGAACGCUGGCGGCGUGCCUAAUACAUGCAAGUAGAACGCUGAAGAAAGGAGCUUGCUUCUUUUGGAUGAGUUGCGAACGGGUGAGUAACGCGUAGGUAACCUGCCUUGUAGCGGGGGAUAACUAUUGGAAACGAUAGCUAAUACCGCAUAACAGCUUUUGACACAUGUUAGAAGCUUGAAAGAUGCAAUUGCAUCACUACGAGAUGGACCUGCGUUGUAUUAGCUAGUAGGUAGGGUAACGGCCUACCUAGGCGACGAUACAUAGCCGACCUGAGAGGGUGAUCGGCCACACUGGGACUGAGACACGGCCCAGACUCCUACGGGAGGCAGCAGUAGGGAAUCUUCGGCAAUGGGGGCAACCCUGACCGAGCAACGCCGCGUGAGUGAAGAAGGUUUUCGGAUCGUAAAGCUCUGUUGUAAGAGAAGAACGUGUGUGAGAGUGGAAAGUUCACACAGUGACGGUAACUUACCAGAAAGGGACGGCUAACUACGUGCCAGCAGCCGCGGUAAUACGUAGGUCCCGAGCGUUGUCCGGAUUUAUUGGGCGUAAAGCGAGCGCAGGCGGUUUAAUAAGUCUGAAGUUAAAGGCAGUGGCUUAACCAUUGUUCGCUUUGGAAACUGUUAAACUUGAGUGCAGAAGGGGAGAGUGGAAUUCCAUGUGUAGCGGUGAAAUGCGUAGAUAUAUGGAGGAACACCGGUGGCGAAAGCGGCUCUCUGGUCUGUAACUGACGCUGAGGCUCGAAAGCGUGGGGAGCAAACAGGAUUAGAUACCCUGGUAGUCCACGCCGUAACGAUGAGUGCUAGGUGUUAGGCCCUUUCCGGGGCUUAGUGCCGCAGCUAACGCAUUAAGCACUCCGCCUGGGAGUACGACCGCAAGGUUGAAACUCAAAUGAAUUGACGG
rnacentral:rRNA from 1 species